UCUUCAUUUGAGUAAAACUUUUAUUGUUAUAUUCGCUCAUUUAAGGAGCUGUUAUUGUAUUAAUCUGUGCUCUAAAUUUUUUAACUCUUUGUGAGUUUUUGUUCUUGUUUUUGGAGGAUUUCCAAAACAAGGAAAGGUUGAUCCGAACCUGAAAUCAGAGUGUUUUGGGUUUACUUGUACCCGAGAAACAAGUGAUCUAGCUUGGGAUAGCUAGUGUCGGAGUUUCCGACAUUUUGUAUUCAGGUUGAAUACAAAGGAUAGUGGAUUGAAAUUCCCAAGUAGGAUCUUGGGGAGUGGAUGUAGGUGCAAGGUUAGCACCGAACCACUAUAAAUCUUUGUGUUUGUGGUGUGCUUUAUCUCUUCACUUUAUUUCUUUAUUAUAUUCUUGCAUUCCUGCUUUAGGUAAUUAAUAUUGAAUUAAAGUCUUUGUUUUGAUCUUCAUAAGUAAUCUGUUGGGCUUAAAAUUUUUAGAAACCCAAUUCACCCCCCCUCUUGGGUUGCAUAGCUGGGCAACAAGUGGUAUCAGAGCCGGUGCUCUAGCCCUUCUUUGAUCUAAUAAUCAAAGAGCCAAUGAUCUAUGGCAACCCAUGUUGGAACUUCUCUAGCCGAGGANNN
rnacentral:lncRNA from 1 species